rnacentral:misc_RNA from 1 species
CGGCAUGAGCAUCGACAGGAGGCA